GAUGAACGCUGGCGGCGUGCCUAAUACAUGCAAGUCGAGCGAACGGACGAGACGCUUGCUUCUCUGAUGUUAGCGGCGGACGGGUGAGUAACACGUGGAUAACCUACCUAUAAGACUGGGAUAACUUCGGGAAACCGGAGCUAAUACCGGAUAAUAUUUUGAACCGCAUGGUUCAAAAGUGAAAGACGGUCUUGCUGUCACUUAUAGAUGGAUCCGCGCUGCAUUAGCUAGUUGGUAGGGUAACGGCUUACCAAGGCAACGAUGCAUAGCCGACCUGAGAGGGUGAUCGGCCACACUGGAACUGAGACACGGUCCAGACUCCUACGGGAGGCAGCAGUAGGGAAUCUUCCGCAAUGGGCGAAAGCCUGACGGAGCAACGCCGCGUGAGUGAUGAAGGUCUUCGGAUCGUAAAACUCUGUUAUUAGGGAAGAACAUAUGUGUAAGUAACUGUGCACAUCUUGACGGUACCUAAUCAGAAAGCCACGGCUAACUACGUG
rnacentral:rRNA from 1 species